rnacentral:rRNA from 1 species
UACAGAGGUCUCGAGCGUUAGGCGGAAUCACUGGGCUUAAAGCGUGUGUAGGCGGAUCGGUAAGUACCUUGUGAAAUCCCACAGCUUAACUGUGGAACUGCUUGGUAUACUGCCGGUCUUGAGCCAGCUAGGGGCUACCGGAACAAAUGGUGGAGCGGUGAAAUGCGUAGAUAUCAAGAGGAACACCUGAGGUGAAGACGGGUUGCUGGGCUGACACUGACGCUGAGGCGCGAAAGCUAGGGUAGCAAACGGG